rnacentral:rRNA from 1 species
CAGUCGCCGCGGUAAUACGAAGGGUGCAAGCGUUACUCGGAAUUACUGGGCGUAAAGCGUGCGUAGGUGGUGGUUUAAGUCCGUUGUGAAAGCCCUGGGCUCAACCUGGGAAUUGCAGUGGAUACUGGGUCACUAGAGUGUGGUAGAGGAUAGUGGAAUUUCCGGUGUAGCAGUGUAAUGCGUAGAGAUCGGAAGGAACAUCUGUGGCGAAGGCGACUAUCUGGGCCAACACUGACACUGAGGCACGAAAGCGUGGGGAGCAAACAGGAUUAGAUACCCGCGUAGUCCCUGUCUCUUAUAC